AUGUAUGUAAAUCUUCUGGUUGAUGGUGGCACAAGGUGGUUGGUUCUGUUUUUCCCCCUUGUUCAGUUUCUUUACCUUGUGUCCGCUCUUGCUCCCAUAGUCGAAUGGCUGAUGGUGCUUCUGCUGCCCACGGAUCUACUUAAUGUCAUGAGUUACUUGGUCAUAGGAGAGAUGUCAGUUCAAAGAUAUUCCCGAAGACCAUUGACCAAAAAAGUCCGGCUGCAGCACAACAACUUUGAUCUCCUGAUUCUCAGCCAAGAGGGAGUGGACCUUUGGCUUGGAUUUAUGAAGUGCAUUGUCUCAUCUUAUUACAAUCAGAGAAGUUGGGGCGGAACAUUCCAUCUAAAGCACAUGAGAGUGCGCGGAUCUGAAUUCAAGAUCCAACUCAUUCCUGUUUACAAGGGCACUUUUAAGAACCUGCUACUGGACUUGUCGAGGCUGGCGACACUGCUGUCAGGCUUUUAUAGGCCUAACAUUGAGAACCAAGAUCAGCUCCCGCUAUAUUUGAAGCAUUUGAUGGCCGUUAUGACCAGACCGCGCGUGGAUUCAGCUUCAUCUGAGCAGCAGAAAGGAAGAUUCUUGAAGUUUCUGCUCAAUCAUCCUACUCUGAAGUCUGCUGGGCGCCGGAAGGCUCUAAUGAGAGAUAUCCAAGAAGCAAUUGCUGGAAUGGAUGAAGCAGAAUCGAGAAGGGUGAUGCAGUCUGUCGGUAAGAUUCGGAUGACCAGGAGAUCUUGGAGGAGAGAACCUAGGAAAGUUCCGUUAAUGAGAAAGGUCUUGUACUUCGGGCAAGGAGGUAAAACCCACACUAAGCAAGGCUAUGAUACUACCGCAGCUCAGCUGUUAAGAUUCAUCAGAAAUUUUUACGCGCACACUGGAGGCCGUACUACAUAUCUUCCUGGCCGGCACUUGAUGAUUAGCAUGCUUGAAGGAGAAUUGGCCAUGUCACACCUUUUCUCGGAUUUUAUGGCAGAAGCGAUCUACGGGCUUGUCAUGGAUACUGGCAUGCAUGGCUUGAAGGUGCAUGGGAACCGUAUGCUGAUUGAGCAGUAG
rnacentral:rRNA from 1 species